CCUUGGGUACCAUUAUAUAUAUAUGAAGCCUGGAGGUGCAGCAAACAUCUUCCAAAUAUGAGACAACAGGCCUAAGGAUGGAAAUUAUUUAUGAGAAUGAUGGAGUUAGAAGAUAAAAUAGGCCUGCAUUUUUUUAUGACAUUGCAGAGCCAAUGAUCAACCUCAGAAACUAACCUCUGGAUUUAUAGUCGAGUAUCAGGGAAAUGUAUUCAUUAUAUAAGACAUUGUUGAUUGGUUAUAAUAGCACUUAAAUUCUUUCUAAAAGGUGAUAUUUGGUAAUUGGCUUCAUUUUGCCCACUUCAUUGACCAGUUGUAUUGCAUAAUUUACAGAAUCACAACAUUUCUAUUCCUCAUAUCUUUGUCUUGCACAUAGAUGCAUCUUGCCAUGUUUUAGAUCGCUUAGUCCCUUAUGCUCCUUCAUGGCAUUCUCUCAGCUUCAACCCAUGCUAGUAAUUGCUUCAACUUCAUGAUGGCCCAGUUCAAAAUUUUUAAGAAAGAAAUCUAACUGUACUUGUUCCUCUUUUACUGUCAGACCACAUGGACCACUGGCAAACCUACAAAUGGGCCACAUUUGGGUCAAGUUCAAAGUCUUAGCCCAAUCAACUGCAAGGAGAAAUGGUUAUGGAUAAAACAUGGUCACCAUCCCUGUACAGUUCUCUGAGAUCUUAUGGCCUGGAUAUAACA
rnacentral:lncRNA from 10 species